rnacentral:lncRNA from 1 species
ACUUUGCAUGUUUGUUUCCAUACCUUAUACCCACUAGGUUCAUAUGUAUGUAAUUUGGGGGAAACAUAAUAUAUUUGUGAUUCAUUUUCCACUUAUGUUUUGUUUAUUUCAAUAUGUCAUGAUUCUCCUAGACUUCCAAUGUAUGGCUUUAGGGCUAAGUACUCUGUGUUUCCAUGGUAAGGAGCAAGCCAGAGCCUUAAUGAAUCACUGCCUGGGCUGCCUGUAAAGGAGCAAGUAACUGGUAGAGAAAUGGGAGAGAAAGAAAAGCAGAAGGAUUUGGACACAAUAAAGACAGGAAGAACUGGAGACCCAAGAGCCUGACGUAUGAAGAGUAAAAUAUAUCCUGAAGGCAAUAGCUUUUCCAGAAGGAAGCCAUCCUAACCGUGUAUCACAGGAGGGCGCUCAGCAUAGGGAUGUACUCACCAACCAAACCCAGAAUUGUCAUGUAAUCUAUGGGAUAAUUUAAGUUUUAUUCUAAUCCACUGCAUUGGAGUAAUUUUUAAUCAAUAAAUCCUUCUCUCUUUUUAAGAAUCACUCAUAGUAAAAGAGUCUACUUUUUAUAAAAAUAAACAAAAAAUUCCAUCAUA